UAGAGUUCCUCUAUUUUAGAGGUGAAAAUAGCAAAAUACAUUGGAGAAUUACAAGUUCGAAAUAAAUGGUCUUUUCCUCUCUCAAUUUGAAUUUGAAUUUUCAUGAUUAAAAAUAGUAUGAAACAAGACAAAGUAUCUCGUUUGUAUUUAUCCAAAUACUAUUUGGUAAUAAAUGCAAUUUCAAAGGCCAAGUCAUAUACUCCAUCUCUUUAGUAAUAUUUUUCAAAUACAUUUAUUGUUAGAAACAUCUCAUUUUUACAAAAGAAAAAAAAAAUCUCAUGAGUAUUUAUUUUGAUAGAUAGAUAAAACUAAUCCUACUUACUAAUUAAUAUGCAUUCAAUGAAACCCUCUCUCAUCUUGUGUGUCUAUCUGCCUAUAUAUAACAACAGCCAAUAACAUGAAGACCUCAAACUUUCUUCGUUAACUCUCGAGAACAAAAACAAGAACAAUAGGUUCACCAAGGUUCCUAUAUUAUUCUUGGAAGGCAAGAAACAUGAAUCAACAAGAAGCUGCGAGUACACUUGGACUUGAUCUGAAACUAAAUAUACUGGAUUCAUCUUUGCCCAGAGAGAGUCCAUCUUCAUCGUUAUGCUCGGAAGAAACUGGAGGUGGAGGAGGAGACGCUGUGGUUGUUGGUUGUCCUAACUGCAUCAUGUACAUCAUCAUGUCUUUGGAGAGUAACCCUAGAUGCCCUAGAUGCAACAGCCAAGUUUUGCUUGAUUUUCUCACAGGAAACUGUAGCAAGAAGAGUAGUGAUUAAUAAAAAGCCAAUUAAAAAUGUUCUUUCCUUUGUUUUUCUUUUCUUGUUUUGUUGCCACAUAUAUUGAUAGUUAAAAUUAUACGACGCAAGGAUGUGUUCAUAAAACAUAAAUAUAUAUAGACACAUUUGUUUUCCAAGAAUUGUAUUAUUCAUUACUUUUCAACAGGUGAUUACGUCGAUAACCA